rnacentral:rRNA from 1 species
GCCAGACUCCUACGGGAGGCAGCAGUGGGGAAUAUUGCACAAUGGGGGAAACCCUGAUGCAGCGACGCCGCGUGAGUGAAGAAGUAUUUCGGUAUGUAAAGCUCUCUCAGCAGGGAAGAAGAAAGACGGUACCUGACUAAGAAGCCCCGGCUAACUACGUGCCAGCAGCCGCGGUAAUACGUAGGGGGCAAGCGUUAUCCGGAUUUACUGGGUGUAAAGGGAGCGUAGACGGCUGUGCAAGUCUGAAGUGAAAGCCCAGGGCUCAACCCUGGGACUGCUUUGGAAACUGUGGAGCUAGAGUGCUGGAGAGGUAAGUGGAAUUCCUAGUGUAGCGGUGAAAUGCGUAGAUAUUAGGAGGAACACCAGUGGCGAAGGCGGCCUGCUGGGCUUUAACUGACGCUGAGGCUCGAAAGCGUGGGUAGCAAACAGGAUUAGAUACCCGAGUACA